rnacentral:rRNA from 1 species
UACGAAGGGUGCAAGCGUUAAUCGGAAUUACUGGGCGUAAAGGGUGCGUAGGCGGUUCGUUAAGUCUGUCGUGAAAUCCCCGGGCUCAACCUGGGAAUGGCGAUGGAUACUGGCGAGCUAGAGUGUGUCAGAGGAUGGUGGAAUUCCCGGUGUAGCGGUGAAAUGCGUAGAGAUCCGGAGGAACAUCAGUGGCGAAGGCGGCCAUCUGGGACAACACUGACGCUGAAGCACGAAAGCGUGGGGAGCAAACAGG